CCCAGGGCUGCGCUUCGCUCCACCCUGGGCUAUCAUAUUGCGCCCCGCUGGGGCU
rnacentral:sRNA from 1 species